rnacentral:tRNA from 1 species
GCCGGCAUGUCGGAAUGGCAGACGAUGCAGACUCAAAAUCUGUUGGGCGCAAGCCCAUGUGGGUUCAAGUCCCACUGCCGGCACUA